GCUUAGGCCUAUUCUACUAUAGGCCAUCGUCACCAAUGGAUAUUAGGAUUAUAGUAUUCAUGAUGAAGGCUAAUGGACAUUGUUUUCUUUCAAAAAUAUUCAGAAAUAAAGUACCUUCGUUAAUCUAUUAAUUUCGAUCUUCUAACACUGAUAUUUAACACAUUUUAAUUUUCUAAAAUAAAGUUGCAGUAGUACACAUCCAUAAUAUUUGUAGCCUACUGAAUUUCCCCAUGAAAUGUAUCAUAAGGUGUAAAAAUGUUGUCAUUCAGGCCUAUAGAUGUACAGUAUCUUAAUAACGUAAUUUAAACUAUUAAUAAAAGGUCUACAUAUUUUUGGUGAAAACAAGAAAAAAUGGCAUAGGCUAUCCACCAACAUACACCCACAUAUCUGCUUACACAGAUACCAUGUUUGAAAUAGACACCAAAUAUAACUGAUCCAUCUUCCGUCUUCCUCCUCUAAAACAGAGAAUGAAGAAAGAGAGAGAAAGUAAGAGAGGGCGAGAGCGAGAAAUAGAGAGAGAGAAAGAGAGAGAGCGCGAGAGAAUUCUGCUGAUGCUGGAGGCUUGAUAUCUCACGUUGCGACUUGACUCUGAAGGAAAAUGUAAACUGAUCACACCAAAAUCUAUCUUUGGAGAAGAAAUUCAAUUAAGGCCGGUGAGGGAGGUCCCUCCGCCCCCCCCCCCUGGACAUCGAGGGGGCACCGGCGUACACUGUACGGUCCAUCCUGGACUCUAGGCGCCGGGUGGGGGGCUUGCAGUACCUCGUGGAUUGGGAGGAGUACGGCCUGGAGGAGAGGUGCUGGGUAAGGAGGGGGGACAUCUUUGGACCCAUCAUCGCUGAGUGAGUUCCACAACCUCCGUCUGGAUCGUCCUGCGUCUCAUCCUCCGGAUCGUCCUCGAGGCCGACUUCCACCGAAGGUGGCUCCUCUCCCUGUUCGGGUGGUGCUUGGCGAUUGUCGGCGCCGGUCUACUAGCUGCCACCGAUCCUUUUUUCUUUUUUCAUUUGGUCUUGUCUGUUUUGAUUGUGCACCUGUUCCUUGUUUAGGUUGAUUCGUGUGGGUAUUUAUUUUCUCCCUACCCGCUUUGUUUCGUGCGGGUUGAGGAGGUAAGCAAAUUGGAGUGGGUCUAGGGUAUCAGGUAGGGUGGAGGUGAUAAGCUCCUUGACCAGUCUCUCAAAUCACUUCAUGAUGACAGAAGUGAGUGCAAUGGAGCGAUAGUAAUAGAUUAAUUGAAUAUGUCCGUAAACACGCCAGCCAGCUGGCAUGCGCAUGCUCUGAGGAUGCGGCUAGGGGUGCCGCCUGGGCCGUCAGCCUUGCGAGGGUUAACACGUUUAAAUGUUUUACUCACGUCGGCCACAGAGAAGGAGAACCCACAGGCUUUGGUAGCUGACCGUGUCAGUGGCACUGUAUUGUCCUCAAAGCGAGCAAAGAAGUUGUUUAAUUUGUCUGGGAGCAAGACGUCGAUGUCCGCGACGGAGCUGGUUUUCUUUUUGUAGUCUGUGAUUGACUGUAGACCCUGUCACAUACGUCUUGUGUUUCAGCCAUUGAAUUGCGACUCUACUUUGUUUCUAUACUGACGCUUUGCUUAUUUGAUUGCCUUGCGGAGGGAAUAGCUGCACUGUUUGUAUUCGGUCAUGUUUCCAGUCGCCUUGCCAUGAUUAAAAGCGGUGGUUUGCGCUUUCAGUUUUGCCAUCAAUCCACGGUUUCUGGUUAGGAAAUGUUUUAAUAGUCACAGUGGGUACGACAUUUCCGAUGCACUUGCUAAUAAACUCGCUCACCGAGUCAGCGUAUACAUCAAUGUUGUUGUCUGAAGCUAUCCGGAACAUAUCCCAGUCCACGUGAUCGAAGCUAUCCUGAAGCGAGGAAUCCGAUUGGUCAGACCAGUGUUGGAUGGACCUGAGCAUGGGUGUUUCCUGUUUUAGGUUCUGUCUAUAGGCUGGGAGCAACAAAAUGGAGUCAUGGUCAGAUUUGCCGAAGGCAGGGUGGGGGAGGGCUUUGUAUGCAUCGCGGAAGUUAGAGUAGCAAUGACCCAGAAUGCUAGCAGCCCAUGUCGCGCAUUUGAUAUGCUGAUAGAAUUUAGGAAGUUUCGUUCUCAGGUUAAGAUAAUGUGGUCAGCAUUUGAUUGUAAGGAAUUCUAAGUCAGGUGAACAAAAGCACUUAAGUUCCUGUAUGUUGUUGUGGUUACACCAUGAGUCGUUAAUCAUGAGGCAUACACCCCCGCCCUUCUUCUUACCAGAGAGAUGUUUUUUUUCAGUAGCCGACUCUGACAACAUAUCCCGAGUGAGCUAUGUUUCCGUGAAACAGAAAAUGUUACAAUCUCUGAUGUCUCUCUGGAAGGCAACUCGUGCCCCAAUUUCGUCCACCUUGUUAUCUAGAGAUUGGACAUUGGCGAGUAAUAUGCUCGGGAGCGGAGCGUGGUAUGCUCGCCUUCUGAGUCUGACCAGUAGGCCGCUCUGUUUUGGGUCGGCCUCUGGGAUAAGAUCCCAUGUCCAGGGUGGAGGUCCGAAUGGGAAAGACGUAUUCCUGGUCGUAAUGUUGGUAAGUUGUCAUCGCUUUUAUAUCCAAUAGUUCUUCCCAGCUGUAUGUAGUAACACUUGAGAUUUCCUAGGCUAACCAUGUAAGAAAUAAUACAUUAAAUAAUACAUUAAAAAAAAGUUUCCUAAGGACCUGAAGCGAGGCGACCAUCUUUGGCGAGCGCCAUCGUCUAGUUCCACUCACUUAAAGCUCUAUCAAGUUGAUUGUUGAUCAUUGUUAGACAGCUACUUUCAAGUCUUGCCAUAGAUUUUCAAGCCAAUUUAAGUCAAAACUGUAUUGAAGAAACAUUCAAUGUCAUCUUGGUAAGCAACUCCAGUAUCUUUGGCCUUGUGUUUCAGGUUAUUGUCCUGCUGAAAGGUAAAUUUGUCUCCCAGUUUCUGUUGGAAAGCAGACUUUUCCUCUAGGAUUUUGCCUGUGCUUAGCUCUAUUCCGUUUCUUUUUAUCCUAGAAAAAACUCCCCUAGUCCUUGCCGAUGACAAGCAGACCCAUAAUAUGAGGCAGCCACCACCAUGCUUGAAAAAAUGAAGAGUGAUACUCAGAGAUGUGUUUUGCCCCAAACAUAACUCUAUUCAGGACAUAAAGAUAAUUUAUUUUCCAAUUGUUUUGCAGUUUUACUUUAGUACCUUAUUGCAAUCAGGAUGCAUGUUUUGGAAUAUUUUUAUGCUGUACAGGCAUCCUUCUUUUCACUCUGUCAUUUAGGUUAGUAUUGUUGAGUAACUACAAUGUUGGUGAUCCAUCCUGACCUUACAGAUAAUUGUAUCUGUGGGGUACAGAGACAAGUUCAAAAAUCACGUUAACACUAUUUUUGCACAAGGUAUCCAUGCAAUUUAUUAUGUGACUUGUUAAGCCAUGUUUUACUCCAGAACUUUUUAGGCUUGCCAUAACAAAGGGCUUGAAUACCUAUAGACUCAAGACAUUUCAGCUUUUCAUUUUUAAUUAAUUGUUAACAUUUCUCAAAACAAAAUUUCAGUUUGACAUUUUGGGGUAUUGUGUGUGGGCCAGUGACACAAAAUCUCAAUUUAAUCAAAUUUAAAUUCAGGCUAUAACACAACAAAAUGUGGGAAAAAAUCAAGAAGUGUGAAUACUUUCUGAAUGAACUGUAGGUCUCUCUGGGAGAUAAACAUUGUGCAGUGUAGCUAUUUCCUCUUCCUGUUUGGCUGGUGCCAGGCGAGCCACCCUGCUGCCACUGAGGAAUGUGGAUAAUGUUGUUGGCCCUGGGCACCAAGAACAGAGCACAGAGCCAUUAAACACACACACACACACACACACCAUACACACACAUACACACACAUAUCCACACCCAUUUCACCAACGGGCAGAAACUAUAACAACAUGUAAACAUGACAGGAAUAGACGUCUUCAAAGACAAAACCCUCUGGAAAAGACUUUGAAUGACUUUAACCUUGUUGGCUUUAUUCUACUCAAACACACUCACACAAACAUACACACACACGCACCCACACACAUACACACAUACACACAGACUCAGUAGGCAGGUCCCUUCCCUCUCAGAUCCACCUUCCUCUCACUUGCCUGACCUUCCAGUCCGGGGGGGAUGGAAAGAGCAGGAGCACUGUGGAACCGUGGGCAGCGAGUUAUGCAGGACUGAGCUUUGAAUAAUUGUCCCGCAAUAUGAGUGUCUCUGAUUAAUUGUCUGAGAUAAGGUCUGCUUUCCUCCCCCUGCCUGCUCAUUCCUCCCCCUCAGGCCCCCCUGCCUGCCUGAGCUCUAAUAAUCAGCCCUGGGUACUGAGAGGCAGAGACAGGGAGGGAAGGAGAGAGGGAGAGAGAGGGGAGCAGGAGGAGAAACAAGAGUGAGAGAGGGAAAGAGAGAAAGUGAGGGAGACAGAGAGAGGAGAUGGAGAGAAAUAGAGAGAGAGUGAGAGCAAGAGGAGAGAGAGUGGAGAGUAGAGAGAUAUGGUGGUGGAGCAGAGAGAGAGAGAGGAGAAAGUAAAAAGAGAGAGUGGUAGAGGAGAGAGAGUAGAAAGAGAGAUAGUGGUGGAGCAGAGAGAGAGAGGAGAGAGAGAGUAGAAAGAGAGAUCGUGGUGGAGCAGAGAGAGAGAGAGGAGAGAGUAGAAAGAUAGAUAGUGGUGGAGCAGAGAGAGGAGAGUAGAAAGAGAGAUUGUGGUGGAGCAGAGAGAGAGAGAGAGAGAGAGAGAGAGAGACCAUUUUACUGACCUUUUCAUCAUAGAUUAUGAGGAUGACAGUUCUAAUUACUCAACAAUUACAAAGCCCCUCAUUACGGGUGACAGGCGCAAUCAGCAAUGCCAUGAAUAACUUAGCAAAAAAAUAACAACAUAUUUACAAGCUAACAAAUACAUACAUGAAAUACUUUGUAAAGGCGAAUAUGAGUGUAGACUAAAAGAGCAGGUGACAUAGAUUUCUUGACACUGCUAGCUACACACAGCUCUUUCACUUUGAAAUAACUUUAUAGACAGUCGUUUGAAUGAUGAGCAACAAUGAGUCAGCCA
rnacentral:lncRNA from 1 species